GAUGAACGCUAGCGGCAGGCUUAAUACAUGCAAGUCGUGGGGCAGCAUGAGUGUAGCAAUACAUUUGAUGGCGACCGGCAAACGGGUGCGGAACACGUACACAACCUUCCUAUAAGUGGGGAAUAGCCCAGAGAAAUUUGGAUUAAUACCCCGUAACAUAACGAUGUGGCAUCACAUUGUUAUUAUAGCUUCGGCGCUUAUUGAUGGGGGUGCGGCUGAUUAGAUAGUUGGCGGGGUAACGGCCCACCAAGUCUACGAUCAGUAGCUGAUGUGAGAGCAUGAUCAGCCACACGGGCACUGAGACACGGGCCCGGCUCCUACGGGAGGCAGCAGUAAGGAAUAUUGGUCAAUGGACGCAAGUCUGAACCAGCCAUGCCGCGUGAAGGAUUAAGGUCCUCUGGAUUGUAAACUUCUUUUAUCUGGGACGAAAAAAGGCUUUUCUAAGUCACUUGACGGUACCAGAUGAAUAAGCACCGGCUAACUCCGUGCCAGCCGCCGCGGUAACAC
rnacentral:rRNA from 1 species